rnacentral:rRNA from 1 species
GACGAACGCUGGCGGCGUGCUUAACACAUGCAAGUCGAACGGAAAGGCCCUGCUUUUGUGGGGUGCUCGAGUGGCGAACGGGUGAGUAACACGUGAGUAACCUGCCCUUGACUUUGGGAUAACUUCAGGAAACUGGGGCUAAUACCGGAUAGGAGCUCCUGCUGCAUGGUGGGGGUUGGAAAGUUUCGGCGGUUGGGGAUGGACUCGCGGCUUAUCAGCUUGUUGGUGGGGUAGUGGCUUACCAAGGCUUUGACGGGUAGCCGGCCUGAGAGGGUGACCGGCCACAUUGGGACUGGGAUACGGCCCAGACUCCUACGGGAGGCAGCAGUGGGGAAUAUUGCACAAUGGGCGGAAGCCUGAUGCAGCAACGCCGCGGGCGGGAUGACGGCCUUCGGGGUGGAAACCGCUUUCGCCUGGGACGAAGCGUGAGGGACGGUAAUGGGUAAAGAAGAAACGGCUAACUACGUG